AAGUAAAAGUCGUAACAAGGUCUCCGUAGGUGAACCUGCGGAGGGAUCAUUACACAAAUAUGAAGGCGGGCUGGAAUCUCCGGGGUUACAGCCUUGCUGAAUUAUUCACCCUUGUCUUUUGCGUACUUCUUGUUUCCUUGGUGGGUUCGCCCACCACUAGGACAAACAUAAACCUUUUGUAAUUGCAAUCAGCGUCAGUAACAAAUUAAUAAUUACAACUUUCAACAACGGAUCUCUUGGUUCUGGCAUCGAUGAAGAACGCAGCGAAAUGCGAUAAGUAGUGUGAAUUGCAGAAUUCAGUGAAUCAUCGAAUCUUUGAACGCACAUUGCGCCCUUUGGUAUUCCAAAGGGCAUGCCUGUUCGAGCGUCAUUUGUACCCUAAGCUUUGCUUGGUGUUGGGCGUCUUGUCUCUAGCUUUGCUGGAGACUCGCCUUAAAGUAAUUGGCAGCCGGCCUACUGGUUUCGGAGCGCACACAAGUCGCACUCUCUAUCAGCAAAGGUCUAGCAUCCAUUAAGCCUUUUUUCAACUUUUGACCUCGGAUCAGGUAGGGAUACCCGCUGAACUUAAGCAUA
rnacentral:rRNA from 1 species